rnacentral:snRNA from 1 species
AUUCUUGCUUCGGCAGAAAAUAUACUAAAAAUAUACUAAAAUAUAUAAGAGAAGAUUAGCAUGGCCCCUGCGCAAGGAUUACAAAUAAUUUCCAAAAAGUACAUCCUAGAUGG